AUUUGAACUAUCAUCUGGUGGGCGUUGUGGGACAGUGAGACCAUCAGGUUCCAUGAGGAGUGGAGGAAGAUGCAGUUACUGCCAGCGCUGCUGCUCCUGUUACUGAUGUGUUCACGGCGUAGCCGGCAGGUUUUUACCACACUCCGCAUGGCCUCGAUCCUGGACGACCGCAUCACGUUGUGUGGGCGCGGGGAGAGGGUGGCGUUGGCCCUUUGCCCGUGAACAGAUCAACAGCGU